UAAUUUUUUAGUAUAAAUGUACAUCUAGCUUCCAACUAGAAAGUCUAACCUGUUUAGAAAAAUU
rnacentral:tRNA from 1 species